UUAGGUCAUCUUGGCAAUUUGGGGAAGCUGCUGCGCCUGCGCGUGCACAGGGUAGCGGUGGAUGCAGGCGGCCCAGGGUCCGUUGGGAUCUGCCGCCGCCGGGUUGAUGCACUCCCAUACGACGCUGCUGCAGUCUAUGCCGGGGCUGAAGGAGAUCAUACACACCCGGUCACCCUUGCUCAUCCGGCCCUUGGCCUCGAUGUAGGCCAGCUCGUACAGCAGCGAGCUGCUGGCCAUGUUCCCGAACCGGUGCAGCGUCAUGUGCGACGCCUCCAUGUCACGGUCAGAGAGGCCGAGGCCACGCUGCAUCUCGUGGAGCACCCUGCGCCCGCCCGGGUGGAUGCAGAAGUGCUGGAACACCUUGUUGAAGGCCGGCCGCGCGCCCUUCUCCGCUCGCCCAGUUGCUCUCGGCUGCGGGAACACGUAUUGCUUGACGAGGGAGAAGGCGACCCGGAGAAGCUCCAACGCAGGCAGGGCCCUGGGACAGAAGGCCACGAUGUGACUCUUGAGCGCGUUCGCAGCAACCACGGGAAGUUCCUUUGA
rnacentral:rRNA from 1 species